GACGAACCGAGCGAACGUUGUUCGGAAUCACUGGGCUUAAAGGGCGCGUAGGCGGCUUGCCAAGUCAGGGGUGAAAUCUUUCGGCUUAACCGGAAAAGUGCCUCUGAUACUGGCGAGCUAGAGGGAGGUAGGGGCAUGUGGAACUUCCGGUGGAGCGGUGAAAUGCGUUGAUAUCGGAAGGAACGCCGGUGGCGAAAGCGACGUGCUGGAUCUCUUCUGACGCUGAGGCGCGAAAGCUAGGGGAGCGAACGGG
rnacentral:rRNA from 1 species